CGGGGUGCAGCAGGCGCGAAAACUUUACAAUGCCGGCAACGGCGAUAAGGGGACCUCGAGUGCCAGGUUACAAAUCUGGCUGUCGAGAUGCCUAAAAAGCAUUUCAUAGCAAGGGCCGGGCAAGACCGGUGCCAGCCGCCGCGGUAACACCGGCGGCUCGAGUGGUAACCGUUAUUAUUGGGUCUAAAGGGUCCGUAGCCGGCCGGAUAAGUCUCUUGGGAAAUCCAGCAGCUCAACUGUUGGGCUUUCAGGAGAUACUGCCUGGCUCGAGGCCGGGAGAGGUGAGAGGUACUUCAGGGGUAGGGGUGAAAUCUUGUAAUCCUUGAAGGACCACCAGUGGCGAAGGCGUCUCACCAGAACGGACCUGACGGCAAGGGACGAAAGCUAGGGGCACGAACCGGAUUAGAUACCCGGGUAGUCCUAGCCGUAAACGAUACUCGCUAGGUGUCGGCCACGGUGCGACCGUUGUCGGUGCCGUAGGGAAGCCGUGAAGCGAGCCACCUGGGAAGUACGGCCGCAAGGCUGAAACUUAAAGGAAUUGGCGGGGGAGCACAAGGGCGAAUCGC
rnacentral:rRNA from 1 species